rnacentral:snRNA from 1 species
GGAUGUGAGGGCGACCUGGCUGCGGCACCUGUCACCGCAUUGAUCGCCAGGGUUGAUUCGGCUGAUCUGGCUGUCUAGGCGGGUGUCCCCUUCCUGCCUCACCGCUCCGCUCCAUGUGGGUCCCUCUCGAAGCUGUGCGCUUGGUCGAAGAGGACGACCUUUCCUGUAUUAGAGGAGGGCCAGUCUUUGGUCAAGGAUACACAAGUAGCUUGCUCCCCUGCUCCAGCCUCCAAACAAGCUCUCAAUGAGACAAAUGAAUAUUUUUGCCAAAUACUUUCAGGUAAU